GAAGGGGGGCGCUCAGAUGGUAGAGCGCUCGCUUAGCAUGCGAGAGGCCUCGAUCGAUUCUAUGCCCAUUUU